UGUGUUAUGAUAGCUCGGUGAUAGUUAGAUGAUGUGACAACGUGUUAGAUGAUAGCUAGAUGAUGUGACAAAGUGUUAGAUGAUAGCUAGAUGAUGUGACAAAGUGUUAGAUGAUAGCUAAAUGUUAGUUAGAUGAUGUGACAACGUGUUAGAUGAUAGCUAGAUGAUGUGACAACGUGUUAGAUGAUAGCUAGAUGAUGUGACAAAGUGUUAGAUGAUAGCUAAAUGUUAGUUAGAGGAUGUGAAAACGUGUUAGAUGAUAGCUAGAUGAUUUUGACAACGUGUUAGAUGAUAGUUAUAGGAUGUUUCAACGUGUUAAUGUUAGUUAGAGGAUGUGACACUGUGUUAUGAUAGCUCGGUGAUAGUUAGAUGAUGGGACAACGUGUUAGAUGAUAGUUAGAUGUGACAUUGUGUUAUGAUAGCUAGGUGAUAGUUAGAUGUGACAUUGUGUUAUGAUAGCUAGGUGAUAGUUAGAUGAUGGGACAACGUGUUAGAUGAUAAGUUAGAUGUGACACUGUGCUAUGAUAGCUAGGUGAUAGUUAGAUGAUGGGACAACGUGUUAGAUGAUAAGUUAGAUGUGACACUGUGCUAUGAUAGCUAGGUGAUAGUUAGAUGAUGGGACAACGUGUUAGAUGAUAGUUAGAUGUGACAUUGUGUUAUGAUAGCGAGGUGAUAGUUAGAUGAUGGGACAACGUGUUAGAUGAUAGUUAGAUGUGACACUGUGUUAUGAUAGCUAGGUGAUAGUUAGAUGAUGGGACAACGUGUUAGAUGAUAAGUUAGAUGUGACACUGUGUUAUGAUAGCUAGGUGAUAGUUAGAUGUGACAUUGUGUUAUGAUAGCUAGGUGAUAGUUAGAUGAUGGGACAACGUGUUAGAUGAUAAGUUAGAUGUGACACUGUGUUAUGAUAGCUAGGUGAUAGUUAGAUGAUGGGACAACGUGUUAGAUGAUAAGUUAGAUGUGACACUGUGUUAUGAUAGCUAGGUGAUAGUUAGAUGUGACAUUGUGUUAUGAUAGCUAGGUGAUAGUUAGAUGAUGGGACAACGUGUUAGAUGAUAGUUAGAUGUGACACUGUGUUAUGAUAGCUAGUUGAUAGUUAGAUGAUGGGACAACGUGUUAGAUGAUAAGUUAGAUGUGACAUUGUGUUAUGAUAGCUAGGUGAUAGUUAGAUGAUGGGACAACGUGUUAGAUGAUAGUUAGAUGUGACACUGUGUUAUGAUAGCUAGGUGAUAGUUAGAUGAUGGGACAACGUGUUAGAUGAUAAGUUAGAUGUGACACUGUGUUAUGAUAGCUAGGUGAUAGUUAGAUGUGACAUUGUGUUAUGAUAGCUAGGUGAUAGUUAGAUGAUGGGACAACGUGUUAGAUGAUAAGUUAGAUGUGACACUGUGUUAUGAUAGCUAGGUGAUAGUUAGAUGAUGGGACAACGUGUUAGAUGAUAAGUUAGAUGUGACACUGUGUUAUGAUAGCUAGGUGAUAGUUAGAUGUGACAUUGUGUUAUGAUAGCUAGGUGAUAGUUAGAUGAUGGGACAACGUGUUAGAUGAUAGUUAGAUGUGACAUUGUGUUAUGAUAGCUAGGUGAUAGUUAGAUGAUGGGACAACGUGUUAGAUGAUAGUUAGAUGUGACACUGUGUUAUGAUAGCUAGGUGAUAGUUAGAUGAUGGGACAACGUGUUAGAUGAUAAGUUAGAUGUGACACUGUGUUAUGAUAGCUAGGUGAUAGUUAGAUGUGACAUUGUGUUAUGAUAGCUAGGUGAUAGUUAGAUGAUGGGACAACGUGUUAGAUGAUAGUUAGAUGUGACAUUGUGUUAUGAUAGCUAGGUGAUAGUUAGAUGUGACAUUGUGUUAUGAUAGCUAGGUGAUAGUUAGAUGAUGGGACAACGUGUUAGAUGAUAGUUAAAUGUGACAUUGUGUUAUGAUAGCUAGGUGAUAGUUAGAUGAUGGGACAACGUGUUAGAUGAUAGUUAGAUGUGACAUUGUGUUAUGAUAGCUAGGUGAUAGUUAGAUGUGACAUUGUGUUAUGAUAGCUAGGUGAUAGUUAGAUGAUGGGACAACGUGUUAGAUGAUAGUUAGAUGUGACACUGUGUUAUGAUAGCUAGGUGAUAGUUAGAUGAUGGGACAACGUGUUAGAUGAUAAGUUAGAUGUGACACUGUGUUAUGAUAGCUAGGUGAUAGUUAGAUGAUGGGACAACGUGUUAGAUGAUAAGUUAGAUGUGACACUGUGUUAUGAUAGCUAGGUGAUAGUUAGAUGUGACAUUGUGUUAUGAUAGCUAGGUGAUAGUUAGAUGAUGGGACAACGUGUUAGAUGAUAGUUAGAUGUGACACUGUGUUAUGAUAGCUAGGUGAUAGUUAGAUGAUGGGACAACGUGUUAGAUGAUAGUUAGAUGUGACAUUGUGUUAUGAUAGCUAGGUGAUAGUUAGAUGAUGGGACAACGUGUUAGAUGAUAGUUAGAUGUGACACUGUGUUAUGAUAGCUAGGUGAUAGUUAGAUGAUGGGACAACGUGUUAGAUGAUAAGUUAGAUGUGACACUGUGUUAUGAUAGCUAGGUGAUAGUUAGAUGAUGGGACAACGUGUUAGAUGAUAGUUAGAUGUGACAUUGUGUUAUGAUAGCUAGGUGAUAGUUAGAUGAUGGGAC